CCCCUCGUGUACACGCAGGAGCAGCUGAGCCUGAGCGGACACUGAGGACAAAAAAAGCGGGAGAUGCUAUGAAGAGAGGGAGCCCAUAUUGUGGUGAAUGAGAGCCAGCUGUGUCAGACGCUGUCAAAGAGAGCUGAAGACAUUCCUGCGAGCUGCGAUGGG